rnacentral:sRNA from 1 species
AUAGUUCCUGCUCUUGAGGGCUGAUUGCGGCACAAAGCCUGCAAUAUCGAACAGAGCAGAGCCUAUCAAGUCUGCGGCAUAGAAAAAAAGCGCGAUGUAAGUAAAGGAGGGGGAAUAUUUACAUCGCGUUGCCAACUUAUGACAGAACAUCACUGGAGAGUAAUCUGUUUGCUCUUACGGUGUUUAUAGCGCGCCAUCUGUCGGAUGGUUUAUAUCUGGCCCGGUAUUGUCGCCCCGGGCGUUGGCGUCACCGUGUGCUGUGUCGGUAUAGCGUGGUAUCAUGAAA